rnacentral:lncRNA from 1 species
UUGGCGAAAGCUUCUGCAGAUAGUUCGAGUGAAAAUGCUCGCAGUCAAACAGCGUAUGAAUCUCCAAAAAGAGUUUCAGAGACGCAGAAGCUGGAAGUGGCCGAUCGUCAAACAGCGGUGGAGUCACAUGAGGCGGUCUUAGAGGCACAUAAGAUCUUAACAGUUCAAAACAGAGAAUCCGCUGGACAUUUCGAGGGCGAAGGGGAGACGCAAAAGCUAGAAGUGGCCGAUCGUCAAACAGCGGUGGAGUCACUUGAGACGGCCUCAGAGGCACAGAAGACUAUAGAAGUUCAAAACAGAGAAUCCGCUGGACAUUUCGAGGGCGAAGGGGAGACGCAAAAGCUAGAAGUGGCCGAUCGUCAAACAGCGGUGGAGUCACUUGAGACGGCCUCAGAGGCACAGAAGACUAU